rnacentral:rRNA from 1 species
AAAGAAACUAUUAUGGAUGGUAAGCUAUAUAUUUCAAGAUUUAUCUAGUGGGAACCUAGAGAUCAAAGAGAAAUCUUAUAAUCAGACAAAGUGAAUUGAAAUAUCUUAGUAACUUUAGGAAAAGAAAUCAAACGAGAUUGCUGUUAGGUGUCUUCUUAACAGCAACAGCCAAUAAAUCAAGUAAAAUGGAAAAAAAUCUGUUUGAAUAAAGGGGAACCUUCCUCUAAGGCUAAAGAAAAUAUAUAAGCGAUAGAGUAGAAGUACCGUGAGGGAAAAAGCUGAAAUAGUAGUUUUAUAAGCAGCUCGAGUAAAUUUUUAAAUAAAAAAUAAGAGCGUACCUUUUGCAUAAUGGGUCAGCAAGUUAAUUUUAGAUGCAAGCAAAGGUUAUUAGUAUUUAAUUAGUAUUAAAUAUAAUUAAAAAAAGUAAUUUUUGCUUAGAUAAACCAAUUAUGAAAAAAUGAAUAAGUAUCUAGAAUUAGACCCGAAGGCUAGUGAUCUUACCAUGAUCAGGGUUAUAAAAGCCCGAACGGGUUAUCGUUGUAAAGAUAUCCGAAGAAUUGUGGUAAGUUAGUGAAAGACAAAACUGACUAGUAUAGCUGGUUUUCCGCGAAACCUAUGUAAGUAGGUAAUUUAAUUAACAUCUUAGCAGGUACAGAACUGUGAUCUCGGACAAUACCAAUGGUAUUUGUCAACAUCGGGGGGUUGUAGCGACUUUACCGGAGAGUAUUUGCACUCGGAAGGGCAAAGAUGAAUAUUAAAUAAUCGGACAUAGUGCGAUAAGGUUGUAUGUCUAAAGGGAAACAGCCCAGAACAAGAGUUAAGGUUCCAAAAUUAUUGUUAAGUGAAAUUAAGGAUGUUUUUUUUUAAAACAAUCAGGAAAUAGGCUUAGAAGCGGCCAUUUUUUGAAGACCUCGUAACAGAGCACUGAUUAAAUAUUUAGGAGAAAACGCCGAAAAUUUAACGGAUCUAAAAUAAUAUACCGAAACCUUGUACACAUUUAUAUGUGGGGUAGCGGAACAUUGGAUAAUAAUCAUAUGAUUUACAUUUAUUCUAAAUGUAAAAAUAUAAAUUUGAAAUAAGGUUAUAGUAGUAUUAAUACUAUAGCAAUAUAGUAUUUUUAUUACUAUAAAGACUCAUGAUGUAUCUAAAAGAUAGGUAGGACCGCUUUUAGGAGAAGGUUUUUUAUAACUAUUAUAGUAAUUACCUUAUUAUAUAAGAUCUAAUAUUAGAUCUAGAAUCUAUGAAAUUUCCAAGAGAGAAUGCUGACAUGAGUAACGAAAAAGGCUAAUAGCCUCGCCUUAAGCUUAUGGCUUCUAACCUAAAAUCGGUGUCUAAAAAUAUUAAUCAAAAGGUAAUUUUGAUGAUGAAUAAUAAACUCUGAUACGUAAUAUUAAAAUAUAAAACCUUUAACAAGUAAUAAAGGUUCAGGAAAAUAUUUUUAUAUUACAUGUUAACAUCUUAACGAAGGAGUUAGGUAGGAUACUACCUGUUAACCAGAUGCGUUAUUACACCGUACCUAGAAUCUAACACAAGUAAGCAAGUAGAGAAUACAAAGGCGUUUGAGUGAACAAUCAUUAAGGAACUCGGCAAAUUGACUCUGUACCUUCGGAAUAAGGAGGGCCAUUAUUAUAAAUUUGAUUAAAAGAUAUUAAAUUUAUAAUAAGAGGAAUCAUGAAAUAAUGUUGUACGACUGUUUAAUAAAAACACAGCACUCUGCAAAGAUAAAAAAUCAAAGUAUUGAGUGUGAUGUCUGCCCGAUGUCGGCUGGGUAACGAAUUUUCCUUGGUUAUUAACUGAGGUUUUGAAGGACACCCCGAUUAAUGGCGGCCUUACCUAUGAGGGUCCUAAGGUAGCGAAAUACCUUGGCCGUUAAAUGCGGUCCUGCAUGAAUGACUUAACGAUGCAACAGCUGUCUCGAUGAUUGUCUCAGUGAAAUUGGAAUAGCAGUGCAGAUACUGUUUACCUCUAGAUAGACGAGAAGACCCUAUGCAGCUUUACUGUUACUAAUUACAAGAGUAAACCUUUAGGAUGAUUUAUAGUGUAUAAGGUAGUUGAAUGAUAACAAUGAAACACCUUUAUUCGAAUCCUAUAUUAUUCUCUUGAUGAUUGGGAGGCAGUUUAUGCGGGGCACAGAUCCCACAAAAAGUACCUGGGUAUAUCCAAAGUUCAUAUUGUAAACUUGUAUGUUUACAUACAUAUAUUUUAAUUUGUAAUAAUUAUUUUUAUAAUUAUACAGUUACUAUUCGAUUAAAUUCUACAUUUAUUUUUAUUUUAAGUAAGAUUUUAACUAUGUGGUGAAUAGAUGUAUUUUAAACUUUAAUAUUUAAAAGUUUUUUGUUAUGUUUAAGUUGUAUUUGUCAACUUAAAUAUGAUAUUUAUUUAUACUUUAAAAGUUUAAUGGCUUAAUCUUGCUUUACUGUUUGACCUACGAGUCUAUCAGUCGCGUAAGCGGGGCAUAUGAUCACAAGAUGCAUUAAGGAAAGGUCUUGGAUUAUAGAAAAAGUUACGCUAGGGAUUUAUAACAGGCUAAUUUGCGCAAGAGAGUACAAAUUGAGUGCGCGGUUUGGCACCUCGAUGUCGGCUUAGCUCAUCCUCAUGCAUGCAGAAAUCAUGAAGGGUUCGACUGUUCGUCGAUUAAAGAGCUACAUGAGCUGGGUUUAAUACGUCGUGAGACAGUAUGGUUUCUAUCUUCUAGAGGAACAUUAAGUAGAGUAAAGAUAGCCCCUUCGUACGAAAGGAGUUGGGUAUAUUGAUCCCUGGUUUACCUGUUGUUUAUAGUAUAUAUAUAUAAAUAUUUAUAUAUAUAUCGAAUGCUUGUACUAAAGUAUUUUUUUGAUCCUAUAGGCAUGGCAGGAAAGCUACAUCAGUUAAAGAUAAGUGUUGAAAGCAUCUAAACGCGAAGCAAACUUUAUUAUACUUUUAAACGUAGUAGAACACUACGAGUAUAGUUGUUAUAUAUAUAUAUAUAUAGCAAUUUAUAGGCUUUAGUUGUAAGAAUGAAAACAUUUUUAGAUAUAAAGUACUAAUUAUU